AGCUUCACCAGCCAGUCAUUUCCUCUGCCCACAGUGGAAAAGAUUAAAUGUCCCUUAGCUCAGAGACAGAGGCUCCUUGCUUUGUAAUUUGCCAGCCCUACCAUGACAGGAGCGGGCCAAGCCCAGCUGUGCAGCACAUGGACCCCAAGGCAGCAUCCCAAACCUGCGCUCAACCCCAGAGCUUGCUAACGAUGCAGAGCUGAAAGGAAGAAAUACACCUAAGAGAAAAGUGCCAAGUUUCUGCCAGUGUGCCAAAUGCCAGAGAUUCACUCAGCAAACGUGUUAUUACCCCUGAGCUGAGCGGGCCUGCUGAGAAAUGCAACUUCAGGAAUCUCCUCCAAUAUGCUGGAGGAAACCAGUGCCAUGAGCCCAGCCAAGGGGCUCUGCAGCGCAUCGGCUCUAGAAGCAGUGCUGGGGAUGGGAUCUGCAGGGAUGCUCGACUCAAGGGAGCUUGCCCCUCACUUGGCCUGGAGGGAGCCUCAGCCACCUCCUGGCCUGGUCCCAGUGUGAAAAUCAGAGCUCAUUCCUUGUUCUCCAUGUCCUCAAGGUGGAAGUCGUGGGGUGACACUUGGACCCAAACCUACUGGCAUUUUCAGGACUUUGCAGAGAGAAAUAACUUUUAUCAAGCACUUCAAAGUUUUUUAGUUUGCAACGAGUACACAGUUUGGUGGCUUCACUGUGCAAUUCUGCUACCAGGAUUAAAGUCUCAAGAAUGCUAUUGAGCUUCCGAAAUAAUAAUCAUAACUAAAACCCCCAAGAUUUUUCCUAUUCUAUGAACAUGCCAAAAGAUACAAGAAAUCCGUGGAAAGCUAGAUGGAUUUUUCAUUUUGGCAGAUCCCAUAAGAUUAAUACAUUUACUGAAAAGCCCUUUUGCAAGCAGUAUUUAUGCCAGGCAGUCCCUUCCGAAGCUCACAAAAUAUCUGAAAGUAUUAAAAAGAUCGAAGUUCGGUACCUGUAUGGUUUCCAGCUAUAAUAAAGUCAGUCAUGUGGCAAAUAUGAAUAGACUGAUCUUUUGUAGGAUUUUGGGAUUG